GGUGUGAUGGGUUAGUGGUUAGCAUGCUUACCUCGCACCUCUGAGUUGUGGGUUCGAAUCCCACCUCUGUCC